AUUUAUUGAUCCUCCACUCUAAGCUUUCAAUUUUUUUAAAUUUUCAUCAAAAACAACAAAAUACGUUCCUGAGAUAAUAUUUAUCUCAAGUUGGAUAAAAACUUUGCAAAGAAUUGAAAACUAGAAUUACCCGACGGAAUUUUUAUCACGAGUCGGAUAAAAAUUAUCCGUCGGAUAAUUGUACUUUUUAAUUGCAGCGCUUUUAUCCAACUUCGGAUAAUUAAUAUCUCGGCAAUUUACUGUGAGGAUACGUUUUUAAUAGAAACAACUAUUGUUAUUUAAUUUUUUUAAAUUUCUCUUCCUAUUUAAUCAAUUUAAUCGGAAUUCAAGCUGAAAGCUACACAAAGGAAAAAAUUGCGAUUCCGUCGGCACUUGAGUAGGAUUGAUCACUUUUUAGGAGAAGCAAGUAUAUCGGCAAGUUCAAAAUAAAAAUACUUGCUAUUUAGUACCUUGACGGCCGAGGCGGCGCACAAAAUUGAGACGACAACGAGUAGGUACUUCAUGGUUUGGAUGCAGUUUCGGAAUGAUCCCAACAUUUGGCACUACCUCACUGCUAGGCACAGGAGGCGCAGUGAUACACUGCCGUAGUGCCGUUGAGAGAAGUAACUCAGUCGUUUGUCAGCACGGAAAAAGCCACGUUACAGACAAAAUCCAUGAAAAAGUGCCUACACAAUAUAAUAUAUUUAGGAAGCAUAUUUAUCACUUAAAAACACAAAUAAAAGAUUGUAUGAGUUUAUAACGAGAUAUUUAAAUAAAAAGAGAGCAGAAAA